UACGGGGGGGGCAAGCGUUGUUCGGAUUUACUGGGCGUAAAGCGCACGUAGGCGGAUCGUUAAGUCGGGGGUGAAAUCCUGGAGCUCAACUCCGGAACUGCCAUUGAAACUGUAAGACUUGAGGAUGAGAGAGGUGAGUGGAAUUCCCAGUGUAGAGGUGAAAUGCGUAGAUAUCCGGAGGAACACCGGUGGCGAAGGCGGCUUCCUGGACCGACACUGACGCUGAGGCGCGAAAGCUAGGGGAGCAAACGGG
rnacentral:rRNA from 1 species